rnacentral:rRNA from 1 species
AUUGAACGCUGGCGGCAGGCCUAACACAUGCAAGUCGAACGGUAACAGGGAUCAGCUUGCUGAUUCGCUGACGAGUGGCGGACGGGUGAGUAAUGUCUGGGAAACUGCCUGAUGGAGGGGGAUAACUACUGGAAACGGUAGCUAAUACCGCAUAACGUCGCAAGACCAAAGAGGGGGACCUUCGGGCCUCUUGCCAUCGGAUGUGCCCAGAUGGGAUUAGCUAGUAGGUGGGGUAACGGCUCACCUAGGCGACGAUCCCUAGCUGGUCUGAGAGGAUGACCAGCCACACUGGAACUGAGACACGGUCCAGACUCCUAUGGGAGGCAGCAGUGGGGAAUAUUGCACAAUGGGCGCAAGCCUGAUGCAGCCAUGCCGCGUGUAUGAAGAAGGCCUUCGGGUUGUAAAGUACUUUCAGCGGGGAGGAAGGGAGUAAAGUUAAUACCUUGGCUCAUUGACGUUACCCGCAGAAGAAGCACCGGCUAACUCCGUG